AUUGAACGCUGGCGGCAGGCCUAACACAUGCAAGUCGAGCGGAGCGGCGGUCGGGUGAGUAAUGCCUAGGAAUCGGCCUGGUCGUGGGGGAUAACGUUCGGUAACGGGCGCUAAUACCGCAUCCUAUCAGCUGAGCCUAGGUCGGAUUAGCUAGUUGGUGGGGUAAAGGUCUACCAAGGCGACGAUCCGUAACUGGUCUGAGAGGAUGAUCAGACACACUGGAACUGAGACACGGUCCAGACUCCUACGGGAGGCAGCAGUGGGGAAUAUUGCACAAUGGGCGAAAGCCUGAUCCAGCCAUGCCGCGUGUGUGAAGAAGGUCUUCGGAUUGUAAAGCACUUUAAGUUGGGAGGCGUUACCAACAGAAUAAGCACCGGCUAACUUCGUGCCAGCAGCCGCGGUAAUAC
rnacentral:rRNA from 1 species